rnacentral:lncRNA from 1 species
AUCUUGUGACGGCGAAUGUGGGGGCGGCUCCCAACAGUCACCCAUCCAUUAGUGGCUCAUGUGUUCUUAAGACAAACUCAGCAGGCUGUACCUGUCCAGAGCUCCCUCACGAGAUUCUUGUGAAACAAAAGGAGCUCCUCUCUAGAAGAUCUUGAAAAGUCAAGUGUGGGGAGGCAACCGCAGAGCCCUACUUCCUGGAUGGGAAGACGGAUGCUGAGGAAGGUGCCGCCUUGUAACCAGAUGUUAUCCAUCCACACUGGACGGGAGGAAAUGAGCCUCAGGGGCCCUGGGAAUUCUGGCCAGAUUUAUAAGAACAUCUUCAAAUGUAGAAGCUUCAGAGUCCUUGGGAGUGUCCGCAGGAAUUGGUGAGCUCGGAAGGACCUCUCUGGAGUCCACCAAUAUCAAGUCGAUUGCCAAGCAUCCUGAUACUUACCUGUUUACUCAGCUGUCAGCUAUGUGCCAAGCGCAGAUACCCUUAAGUUGUAUGUGGCGGUUGUCAAUGUCUUCCCAAAGAAGAGACACACACCUGCUUGUUCACAGAGCUCUGCAAUCAGAUGAUGGGCGUGGACCAAAAGGAGUCUGCAGAACCAUCGAUAGCCUUCUGGGAGUCUUAUCAGGCCGAGGAGACUGACCUGCUUAUCCAUGCUACUUAUCAGGAACUGUGGAACCAUGGAGAACAUGACCCUGGCCCUCCCUUCAGGAUCUGCCUGAGAUCUGGCUGCCUCUUGAGACACUAGAGCCCUGGAUUCAAUUGCGGAACAUUAUGUUGGAGAAUAUAAACACUUCUAGACUGUGCCGGCAUUUGGGAAGGAAUAGUCUGUUUUGACUUGAAUGAACAAAGACAUACGUCUCUGGGCCUGGGGAAGGCUUACCAGCUCAGCUCAUCUACUGUCUGGUGGCAAACAUGUCCUGGGUACUGCCACUACCCAGGACACUCUUCCUCACUCUGUCCCUGUCCAGUUACCGCACCCUUCCCUGUCUGACCCCGCCUCCUGUGCCCACUCGCCUCUGGACCCAGAGAUUCUUCUUGUUUGCUCUAUCAUCCUUGAGCCGGAUACAGGGUGAAUAGUUAACCACACUUGGGUUGAAUGGGAUCUUGAUUCUUAUUUCUGUUCCUUGGAAAGAGGGGUCAGACUCGGUGCGUGGCACCCGGCCUGGAAGCAGCACAAGACUCCAGAGUGAUACAUGAUCUGCCUGGAUGGUCCCAGGGGCUCUUUGGAGGUCAGAGCAAGAGGAGCAGCCUGAGCAGGGGGGCUGAGGAGGGCCGGCACUGGAUCACACGCAGGCGUAUGUCUGGAUAGGCAGAGAGGAACCCACUUUUCAUUCCCUCUUCUGUGACACAAAUGCAAGGAACUUUGAAGACACUCUUCGGAGGUUGCAAUCGGAGAUCAGCUUAUCCAAGGGCUUCAUGUCUGAGCUCUGUUGGUCGUGCCUCCUGAGGACCUCUUUCCUCUACUGUAUGCUGAUGACACACCCAUCCGAUGGGAGCUGGAGCCUUGUCUGGUCCUUUCCUCUAUGACCCCACGUGUACAGUUGGAAAUCCUUCCUAAUCAUGCCUUGAUUCCCCCUUUUCGACUACACUCAAAGAUGUUUGAGCUGUUUUAUUUGCAAAAUGGAUGGACAGUUUGUUUAUAUAAAACAAUCCCAGCUUCCUUGUGCUCUAUCUGGUGUGUUUGUAUGGCUCUUCAGUGACUUUAAAGUGGAGCAUUGACCUUGGCCUCUUUGAUUCUCCAUGGUGGAAUAGAGAAGACCUCUUGAGGAUGCUUAAUGUUGCUGAGAUCUUAAGAAGGCUUGCAGACUUCCUCUUCCUCCCUCCUUCUCCCACCUCCUCCUUCCCUAAGCAGCCUCUGCAUUGUAUAAAUUCCUUUAUA